rnacentral:rRNA from 1 species
AUUGAACGCUGGCGGCAGGCCUAACACAUGCAAGUCGAACGAGUGGCGGACGGGUGAGUAAUUUCUGGGAAACUGCCCGAUGGUGGGGGAUCACUACUGGAAACGGUAGCUAAUACCGCAUACCAUCGGAUGUGCCCAGAUGGGAUUGGCUUGUAGGUGAGGUAACGGCUUACCCAAGCGACGAUCCCUAGCUGGUCUGCGAGGAUGACCAGCCAGACUGGAACUGAGGAACGGUCCAGAGUCCUACGGGAGGCAGCAGUGGGGAAUAUUGAACAAUGGGCGAAAGCCUGAUACAGCCAUGCCGCGUGUAUGAAGGAGGCCUUCGGGUUGUAAAGUACUUUCAGCGGGGAGGCGUUACCCGCAGAAGAAGCACCGGCUAACGCCGUGCCAGCAGCCGCGGUAAUUC